CCCUUUUCAAGGCUGAAGAGUUUUCCAGUGUGUGGAUAUCCCACAUUUUGCAAAUUGAGUCAUCCGCCCACGGACAUUUGGACUGUUUCUGCCUUUUGGUGACCACGAGCAGUGCGAUCAGGAACACGGACGUGCAAAUCCCCGUUUGAGUCCCUGAUGUCAGUUCUCUUGGGUGUGCGCCUAGGAGUAGACGUGCUGGGUCGUAUGGUGAUUCUGUGUGUAACUUCCCAGGGGACCGCCACCUGUGUCCACAGUGGCCGUGCCCCCCUUCCCCCUGGAUUCUGGCUUUUCAGCACCUGUCUUGAGCAGUAAGUCAGGCCGCAUCCGGCUGUGUGGACGCAGGCACCUCCGUGGUGUGGGCGAGUCAGAGGUGUCUUUGAACCGUUCACGUGGGUCAAGUUCAUGAUGACUGUAUGAAUCAGGGGCCACUGUGAGGAGACUGGUUGGUGCUCAGAGAGGUUGAGUGACUUUCCGGACAUCACAAAGCAAGCACGUGACAGCACGAAGCUUUCAGCUCUGAUCUCCUGGACUCCCGAGUCCUCUGGCUCUUCAGGCUCUGCUCCCCUGUUGCCUUUGGGCUCCACCACCUUGACGGCAUGCCUGCACCGGCCCCUUCUGUCUUGCGACGGCACCGUGGGGCUGCAGCGGGAGCCGUGGCCACACCUCCACCCCCUCUGUGGCCUCAGUGCCGUCCAGGGUCCAGGGCCCUUAUGGGAGCAGGCCCUGAUUCUGCAUUUUGAAUCCAGAGGUGACAAGCACACAGUUCUUGCCCUCCAGGGAUUUGUUCAAAGGCCACGUAACGUUCACAUCAGUAUCUGCUUCAGUACCUCCUCGGUGCUUCCGGGAGAGGUCAUCCCGGAAGGCUGCCAUCACGGCCUUGUGACGACACCCCUACAGCAAUCAUUCCUUCAGGCGACGGAUAUUUACUAAGCACCUACUGCAUACACAACACUUCCAUGAGUUCACGCACAUUCUACACGCUGCUGCUCUCUGAGCACUUGUUAACGCUGACGUUUCCUUCGUGUGGCCUUGGCCUCCCCCUCUGCCUGGAAAACUCCUAGGCACACGUCAGUGCCCAUCUCAGUAGCACUGCCAUCGGGAAGCCUCUGCUCACAUCCCACUCAUCUCCCCAGAAAAACCCAGUUCUUUGUUUCCUCCGGGACACUUGGUGCCACUCCUUGCUGGGGCUCUCACCUCACAGCAUCUCCAUUAUUGCCCCGUUGGGCUCCCCACCAGUCUCGGAAAGGCACAAGGGGCGUCUCCUUCACUCCCUGACAAACACUUAGCGAAGGAAGCUACGCUGUAUCAUUUGGAGGCCCGGCGGGGGGACCGGACCCCAGUCUCGUGUGCAUUACCGCGUCCAGCACGGGGCUGAGUGGGAGCCUGGCUAUAACGUCCUCCUAUGAGGCCCCCUUCUUUGUGCCCUACCCGAUGCUUUUACUUCCCCAAAGCUGCUGACUCCUCAGCACGACCCUCACCCGCACUUCCCUGCUGCAAGUCUGUUCCCAACACAGCAGAGUAACCCUUCCAAAAGGCGUUUGAGGUAUAAAUGCAUAUAUAGCAAUCUUUCUAAAGUGUAGACAAAAUCAUGUCAGUUUUCUGGUCAGGUUCUCUCAGCGGCUUCCCUGCUGGCUCAGGGUCAUUGCCAGAGCCCUUGCACAGCCCCCGGUGCUGCUCUGACCCUUUCUCCGCCUCUCUCUGCCUUCCACACACCACUUGGCCCUGCCAGACUCCUUACCUUUCCGUGGACUCUCCAAACAUUCUCAGAGCCUCUGCGCUCACCCUGGC
ensembl:lncRNA